rnacentral:misc_RNA from 1 species
CAAACGAUAUGAAGCUGCAAAUGAGUUAUUUCUAGAGUUGAAAGAGAAUUGUGGAUGCACAAAUGCUCGUGUAUAUGCUGUAAUGAUCAAGCAUUUUGGGAAGUGUGGUCGUCUUACUGAUGCUGAAGGUCUUUUUAAUGAAAUGAAGAAACUUGGAUGCAAACCUGAUGUGUAUGCUUACAAUGCUCUCAUGUCGGGGCUGGUGAGAGCUGGCAUGAUAGAUGAAGCUCAUUCCUGGCNNNNNNNNGGCUGCUCUCCAGACAUAAACUCUCAUAAUAUUAUCCUAAAUGGCUUGGCUAGGACAGCUG